AUGGGUGAAUCAAUGUUGGAGAAGUUUGACAAAUAUUGGGAAGAAAAGAACAAUGCCAUGGUGAUCGCAACCAUCUUUGAUCCACGGUACAAGAUGAGUUACAUAGAGUGGGCCUUUGGAGAACUAUAUGGAGAAGGAAGUACGAGGUUUAGGACUGAGAUCAAAAUCAUGGAGAAAGAGUUGGCGGCCUUGUAUGAAAAAUGUGUUGCUCAAGAUAAGCGAGCUGGAAAUGGAGAAAGUUCAUCUUCCUCUGCAAACAUUCCUAGUAUCCCGGUUCAAGCUGGGUACGAGUCCUUCUUAUCGUCCCGUUCAACAAGAAUAUCAAAGAGUGAGUUGAGGAACUACUUAGAGGAUGAGGUUGCCCCUCGCAACAAGGCUCUUGACCUUCUUGGUUGGUGGAAAGACAAUGCUCCUAGGUACCCAAUUAUGGCCAAGAUAGCCAGGAGGUUCCUUACUAUCCCGGCUACCUCCGUGUCUUCGGAAUCUACCUUCAGCACGACCGGAAGGAUUUUAGAUGACUAUAGGAGUUCGUUAAAACCGGUUAUGGUGGAGGCAUUAGUUUGUGGUGCAAUUUAUAUCAAGGGUGCUCACGUUGACUUGAAUCUGGUGCCGAGGGAUGAGAAUGAAGAGGAUGAUGUUGAGAACAUCAAGUUACCCAUUGUGGUGGAGGAGAUCAACGAU
rnacentral:rRNA from 1 species